GUUGAUAAAGAUAUAUAUUUAAAUUUGAGGGAGAGAAAUCACUCUCCAAUGUAUAUCAAGUGAUGAAUAUUAAUGAGAAAGCACUAACUGAAAUUAGAACAUAUCUCAUCUUUGUAUAUUGGACUCCCCAACUAUUACUGAUUACAAAAAGUAAAUCAUCAUAACAUGCAUUAUAUUAAUGUGUGCUCUGGUCCUAGAUCGAUAACAUGUAAUGAUUAAUGACUCAUAUCAUUGUCCAUCUUUUGUUACACAAAGUCAUAGUCUCCAGCAUGAAUGUGCACUUCACCCAAUAAAGUUAGGUUAAUUUGUAGCUAUCAUUUUUUCAUGACUUGAUAAUAGCAAUUUAACACCAUUUACCUUAAUUUAUCAUGCAUAGACAUAUGUUAUCAUUAGCUUUUGAUGCUCUCAAUGUCUCAAAAAUUAGAUCAAACUUUUGAUCAUUUCAAUGGUACCAUCGAUAUGCGGUAUCCAACUAAAAUCUCCCUCUCUACCAACCAAGCCGAGCUAUAAAACCAUUUUUACAAAUCAUUGAUAUAUAAUCAUAAUCAUCCAGCCUUGUUGCAGUCAUGUAAAAUUGAUUGUGGAAUCCUUCCUGCCGACCGCUCCUAAUGAAGAUGCAACCAAUAAACCUCUUUUUCGUUUAUCAUUAGACGUUAAUCUUAUGAUAAGUAGUCCCUUGAUGCCCAAUUCAAUC
rnacentral:lncRNA from 1 species